rnacentral:rRNA from 1 species
GGGCNAAGCCUGAUCNAGCAUGCCGCGUGUGUGAAGAAGGCCUUCGGGUUGUAAAGCACUUUUGUCCGGAAAGAAAUCCUCUUCGAUAAUACCGAGGGGGGAUGACGGUACCGGAAGAAUAAGCACCGGCUAACUACGUGCCAGCAGCCGCGGUAAUACGUAGGGUGCAAGCGUUAAUCGGAAUUACUGGGCGUAAAGCGUGCGCAGGCGGUGAUGCAAGACCGAUGUGAAAUCCCCGGGCUUAACCUGGGAACUGCAUUGGUGACUGCAUCGCUAGAGUAUGGCAGAGGGGGGUAGAAUUCCACGUGUAGCAGUGAAAUGCGUAGAGAUGUGGAGGAAUACCGAUGGCGAAGGCAGCCCCCUGGGUCAAUACUGACGCUCAUGCACGAAAGCGUGGGGAGCAAACAGGAUUAGAUACCCUGGUAGUCCACGCCCUAAACGAUGUCAACUGGUUGUCGGGUCUUCAUUGACUUGGUAACGUAGCUAACGCGUGAAGUUGACCGCCUGGGGAGUACGGUCGCAAGAUUAAAACUCAAAAGAAUUGACGGA